rnacentral:rRNA from 1 species
GCAUGUCUAAGUAUAAGCAAUUUAUACCGUGAAACUGCGAAUGGCUCAUUAAAUCAGUUAUCGUUUAUUUGAUAGUACCUUACUACUUGGAUACCCGUGGUAAUUCUAGAGCUAAUACAUGCAAAAAACCCCGACUUCGGGAGGGGUGUAUUUAUUAGAUAAAAAACCAAUGCCCUUCGGGGCUUCUUGGUGAUUCAUAAUAACUUAACGGAUCGCAUGGCCUUGCGCCGGCGACGGUUCAUUCAAAUUUCUGCCCUAUCAACUUUCGAUGGUAAGGUAUUGGCUUACCAUGGUUUCAACGGGUAACGGAUUUUUAGGGAAAGAUCCCGGAGAAGGCGCCUGAAAAAUAGCGACUACAUCCAAGGAAGGCAGCAGGCGCGCAAAUUACCCAAUCCCGACACGGGGAGGUAGUGACAAUAAAUACUGAUACAGGGCUCUUUUGGGUCUUGUAAUCGGAAUGAGUACAAUUUAAAUACCUUAACGAGGAACAAUUGGAGGGCAAGUCUGGUGGACAUCUCAGCUCCCACUGCUGACGCCAGAGAUAGUCGGGCACUCCCUUCGAAGGGGGGGUCGCUAUGCCGGCUAGUCGAGUACCCACCAAACUGAUGGGGGGGUACCGGCGAGACAACCUGGAUCGGGGAAGGCUAAGGCACCCACAACGGGCGCUACGCUGAUCCCGAGCAGAGCCUUCGCGGGGCGACCCGCGAUUACGGCCUGUGUAGAGCGCGCAAAGGUGUCGGUCAACUCCCCGAGUUGGCUUGAGGGACGUGCCAUUCCCGCCCGAAAGGGCGGCUGCCAGCCUCGAGCGCCCAUCACGCAAGGGCUGGCAGGCCCGGAGCCAACGGUUCCGGGCGUC